GCAUCGAUGAAGAACGCAGCA
rnacentral:rRNA from 2 species